AGACCCGAAACCCGGUGAUCUAGCCAUGGGCAGGUUGAAGGUUGGGUAACACUAACUGGAGGACCGAACCGACUAAUGUUGAAAAAUUAGCGGAUGACCUGUGGCUGGGGGUGAAAGGCCAAUCAAACCGGGAGAUAGCUGGUUCUCCCCGAAAGCUAUUUAGGUAGCGCCUCGUGAAUUCAUCUCCGGGGGUAGAGCACUGUUUCGGCUAGGGGGCCAUCCCGGCUUACCAACCCGAUGCAAACUGCGAAUACCGGAGAAUGUUAUCACGGGAGACACACGGCGGGUGCUAACGUCCGUCGUGAAGAGGGAAACAACCCAGACCGCCAGCUAAGGUCCCAAAGUCAUGGUUAAGUGGGAAACGAUGUGGGAAGGCCCAGACAGCCAGGAUGUUGGCUUAGAAGCAGCCAUCAUUUAAAGAAAGCGUAAUAGCUCACUGGUCGAGUCGGCCUGCGCGGAAGAUGUAACGGGGCUAAACCAUGCACCGAAGCUGCGGCAGCGACGCUGAUGCGUUGUUGGGUAGGGGAGCGUUCUGUAAGCCUGCGAAGGUGGCCUGUGAGGGUUGCUGGAGGUAUCAGAAGUGCGAAUGCUGACAUAAGUAACGAUAAAGCGGGUGAAAAGCCCGCUCGCCGGAAGACCAAGGGUUCCUGUCCAACGUUAAUCGGGGCAGGGUGAGUCGACCCCUAAGGCGAGGCCGAAAGGCGUAGUCGAUGGGAAACGGGUUAAUAUUCCCGUACUUGGUGUUACUGCGAAGGGGGGACGGAGAAGGCUAUGUUGGCCGGGCGACGGUUGUCCCGGUUUAAGCGUGUAGGUGUGUGUUCCAGGUAAAUCCGGUUCACUUUAACACUGAGGCGUGAUGACGAGGCACUACGGUGCUGAAGCAACAAAUGCCCUGCUUCCAGGAAAAGCCUCUAAGCAUCAGGUAACAUCAAAUCGUACCCCAAACCGACACAGGUGGUCAGGUAGAGAAUACCAAGGCGCUUGAGAGAACUCGGGUGAAGGAACUAGGCAAAAUGGUGCCGUAACUUCGGGAGAAGGCACGCUGACACGUAGGUGAAGUGAUUUACUCAUGGAGCUGAAGUCAGUCGAAGAUACCAGCUGGCUGCAACUGUUUAUUAAAAACACAGCACUGUGCAAACACGAAAGUGGACGUAUACGGUGUGACGCCUGCCCGGUGCCGGAAGGUUAAUUGAUGGGGUCAGCGCAAGCGAAGCUCCUGAUCGAAGCCCCGGUAAACGGCGGCCGUAACUAUAACGGUCCUAAGGUAGCGAAAUUCCUUGUCGGGUAAGUUCCGACCUGCACGAAUGGCGUAAUGAUGGCCAGGCUGUCUCCACCCGAGACUCAGUGAAAUUGAACUCGCUGUGAAGAUGCAGUGUACCCGCGGCAAGACGGAAAGACCCCGUGAACCUUUACUAUAGCUUGACACUGAACAUUGAGCCUUGAUGUGUAGGAUAGGUGGGAGGCUUUGAAGCGUGGACGCCAGUCUGC
rnacentral:rRNA from 1 species